rnacentral:misc_RNA from 1 species
GAUGAAGAACGUAGCGAAAUGCGAUAAGUAGUGUGAAUUGCAGAAUUCAGUGAAUCAUCGAAUCUUUGAACGCACAUUGCGCCCCUUGGUAUCCCGAGGGGCAUGCCUGUUCGAGCGUCAUUUCACCACUCAAGCCUGGCUUGGUGUUGGGCGACGUCCCCUUUGGGAACGCGCCUCGAAACGCUCGGCGGCGUGGCACCGGCUUUAAGCGUAGCAGAAUCUUUCGCUUUGGAAGUCGGGGCCCCGUCUGCCGGAAGACCUACUCGCAAGGUUGACCUCGGAUCUGGCAGGGAUACCCGCUGAACUUAAGCAUAUCAAUAAGCGGAGGA